AUCUAGGUAUGAUGAACUGUGCAUUUGAUUAUUGGUAACUCACCAUGAGUUUCUGGUCUAGUAUUUACUGGAAAAUUAACUCCAUCCGUUAUUCACAGAUUAAUAAAUGGAUCAAGAUACUAUCAUUAAACAUUUAGGCUGGGAACGAUCCGCCGGAUCCAGCUGGAUCGGGAGGGGAAUAGAGUGCCAGAGGGGCAGAGAAGGAGGCAGUGGGAGCAUGGUGGGAGAGGAAGGGGUCAAGAGCCCCGACAUCCACCUGAUUUUUUUUUUCCAGAAAAAAGUACCUGGAGAGGUCAUUUUCUUUAAUCCCACCAGGAUUGGGCCUGUGACCCGGGAGAUCUCCUUUGUUUUCUCGUUACCUCCCUCUCUUCCCCUCCAACCUGAUCCUACACCAAGCAGGCCUUUUCUAAGACUGUAAGACUGUCAUCAACAUAACUUGUGAUCAAGCUUAAGAAAACAUGUCUCCAAAAUGAAAACCCCCAUUGACCUAUCUGGUAACAAAUAAGAAAGCCCAUAAGCUUGUGCCUCAUGGAAAAUUAGUCAAACAUCUGGUGGUCACAUGGCUAUACAACUGCACCGAUAGUCACAUUCAUGUAAUAGAACCACACAUGCAUCUUCAAAGGGACACGACACU
rnacentral:lncRNA from 1 species